AUUUCUAUUUAUGUAGUUUAAAAAAACAUUACAUUUUCAUUGCAAAAUUAAAUUCAUAUUUCAUAA
rnacentral:tRNA from 2 species